UUGUCAAUCAAUCUAAAAUACAGUUUUAUUGAUGUAUUAUUCAAUGGAUGAAAUAGAUGCUACACUAUGUACAGCAAUUACACUGUUGAAGUUUGAAGUAAACAUUGAAAGUAGCUCUAGUACAAACCUAACAAUUAUUUGGUACAUUGUUUGAUUUUUAAAUGGUCUAGCUUGAGAGUUGGGGGUCAAAUGUUACAAAGAACAUCAUUAAAGUAAAAGUACCUUCAACAUUCAAAUAUUAAACUGUUAACCCCCCCCCCCCCCCCCCCCCCC